UCUGUGGGAACCGGAGGGAGGACGGCGCAAGGUCCCCGGACAAAGCGUGGCGCAUAAUUCCAGCCCAUAAUUUGAUGGGCAGGCAACUUAGGGGAUGUGGGCCUGGUUAUAGCUGAGCAUGCCUUUUCUCUUCCUCCCAGACCACAGUUCUUCAGACCUGGAGCCACUUUCAGAGAAGAGUAUAAGUUGCACUGAAUUGAAAAAGGGAAAAGUUUAGGACUGCAGAAGAUGGAAUUCCUGGGGACGUUAAACUGGGCUAAGAUGAAGCAGAUAAGAUUUCCUUAAUUAGAGCAAGACACACCUAGUAUCUAGAGGCUGGAAGUCUUGGUCAAGGAUUCUCCCUAACAUCUCAGUUUCUCAGCAGUAACAUUCCUGCUACUAAAAUGAAGUGAGAAAUUAAUUUCUGAAGUUAAGUAAAGAAAUAAACUAAAAUUCCUAGAAAAGAGAUAAGAAGAAUGAGCCUUUGAAAAAUGUCUUCACAAAGACUGGCAUGAUGGCGUGGAAGAAAGAGCCCCAGAUAUCCAGUAUACAUCUCAAGGUCAACUUGUCCAAAACUGAGCUAGUGAUGAUUUUCCCCUUGAAAUCUACUCUUCCUACAGCUUAUUCAUCUCAAAUACUGAAUUCUGGCCAUAGUGACCCUGCCUCAAUCAUGCAAAUGAGACGAAUGUCCUUGCAAAUGGCAAAGGCCUAAGAUGGAAGGAGUUUGGAUCUGUGAAUCACUACAUGGAGAAAAACCACCUGCUGACCUAGAAACUUACUCUGGAAUGAGAUGAGAAAUGAAUUUAUUGUUCUUUAAGAUGCUGAAUUUUGGAGGUUUAUUUUUUCUAUCAACGUAGCCACCAUUAUUAACAUGGGGUGGGAGUCAGAGAGUGACACUAGAAAGAGGACUAUUUUAAUAAACCAGGUAAGAGAUGAUGAAUACUGGCCAGGCACAGUGGCUCACGCCUGUAAUCCCAGCACUUUGGAAGGCCGAAGUGGGUGGAUCACCUGAGGUCAGGAGUUUGAGACCAGCCUGACCAAUAUGGUGAAAUCCGUCUCUACUAAAAAUAUAAAAGAUUAGUCGGGCAUGGUUGCGUGUGCCUGUAAUCCCAGCUACUUGGGAGGCUGAGGCAGGAGAAUCACUUGAACCCAGGAGGCAGAGGUUGCAGUGAGCCAAGAUCGCGCGAUUGCAUUCCAGCCUGGGCGACAGAGUGAGACUCCGUCUCAAAAAAAAAGAAAGAUGAUGAAUACCUGUGAUGGGAUUGGUGGGGGUAGGUGAAGAAAAGAUAUGAACAAAUUUAUAAAAUACACUCAACAUGACUGCUUUACCUUCAAAUUUCUUAAAAUCUUGACACUUCUGUAGCUUACUACAUGAUUUUCUGCAAGGAGACUUUAUUCCCACCGGUUAACUAAAACUUCUCUUUCCAAAUUUAUUACAGGCCUAAAACCAGCAAAUCCAAUCUGGCCUUUUCUCGGUCUUUAUAGUUUUCUCCUCUCUAUAGCAUAUGACACUGUUGAUCACCCCACCCACCCUAUAGCUUUUUACAUGCUGGUUUUAAUACCUUCCACUCUUUCUGUGUUUUUUGUUUUGUUUUGUUUUUUUCCCCAUCAGCUUAUUCUUGUUCCAUGCCCUUCUAAACAUAGGUGCUCCUCAAGGUCCUGCCCUUAAAUGCAUUCUCCUUUUUUUAUCUAGACACAUUCACUGUCAUGGCUUCAACUAGGCAGAGUGUGACUGACCAACAGUGUGGCUCAUCCUUGUGGAGGAGAACAGAUGCCAAUUAAUUUGACAUGACCAUAUCCAACUCAGGAAGUGGGUGGGAGGUAGGAAGGCAAAUCAGCAUCUCUCUCUUCCUAUUUCAGAUAUGAAUAGGUUAUUUCCUCUGAUGGAAAAAAACAUGCAGAACUUUCUGUAAGUGAAGGAGUGGACUGUGGAGAAUAAGCAGGAUUGUCCAAUAAAUGACCUGAGAACACUUUUUGUGUUGCCUGCCUAUGAACAGUUGGUUCCCUGUUCCCCAGGUGAAAGGGGCUAUGCCUGAACUCAGCUUCCCAAGAGACCUGGUGGUUGAGCUGCUAAUAUUUUCCUGAAUCUGCAUGAGCAGGUGGUGUCUAACCUCACACUUUCAAAUGCUAAAGCCUGGAUGGUUUACCUCCAGUAAACCUCCAGUAGGAAACAACCUACUUGACUCUAGACUCCUUUUACCCACUGCUGUCACUCACCAAUCAGAACCUGUCAGCUCCUCAAAACUUUAUUAGUGCCUAUGAAUUUUCUUUCAAAGUAAUACAUAACAUUUCUCCUUUUUUAAAACCUCCAACCUUCCCUUUGUUCUUCAGACAUACCCAAAACUACCACGCCAGUGUUUAUGCCCUGAAUUGCAAUUCUUGUGUCCCAAAUAAAACAUGUUAAAAUUA